AUCGACCAGCUCGGGAGCCGCCUGGGCCACCGCGCCGCCCGUUGCCGCGUCCAUGCAGUAGUGGAGGGCGCUACGGAGCGCCCGGUCCCGGUAAAUUAAUGAAGGCAGAUUUCUCGGGACACCGCAUGCAUGCGAGGUUCGAAGCCCUUUCAUGCAAUAAAUCACAAUAAUCUAUGAUCAAGGCUUAAUUUUAUGCAACGCUUGGAGCUGACUUGCUGAAUUGGAUGAAGCGAUUAGUUCUAAAAUUGUCCUUCCUUCACGUUAUGAAGAAAGCGCACGACCGCAAAGAAAAAGUAUAAGCAGCAAAAUUAUACCAAGACCAAAGCGUCCUCACUUAUAGGGCCG
rnacentral:lncRNA from 1 species